CAAAUCUCCAUCAAACCAUCCUUAUCCAAUCGAGUCGAGAAAACAGUCUUUAAAGAUCCCACGUGGUUGGUUCAUGCGCAUAGGGCUUGUCAUUUGUCAUCAUCCUCAAACCUCUUUCCUCUUUCCUCUUUCAAUAUAUUUGAUCGCGGAUGAUUCGGCUGGAAAUGAAAACUCCUUUUGGAUCGAGGAGGCUCCCGAGAAAGUGAUGCUUCAGGUUGAAGAAGACAAGAGAUGGAUUCCCCGGUUGCCGGAAAAAGGCUCCGGCCGAGAGUUGUUGUGUUUAUUGGUGAUGGGUUGUUGCCGAGGAAAUCGUCGGAUGGUUCAGGGUUUGAUUGGGAUGUGUGGCUGAUCGAAGGGUCUUCAAGAACGGCGUUAAUGACUAGGGUUAAGAAGAACAACCCCUAAUUUGCACUGGGUUUCAAAUCGGGUCGUGGGGAUCCAGUGGUUCGCGGGUCCUGAACCCGGGUUACCCACUGUUUGGGUCUUGGAUUUCUGAUGUAUUGGGUCACCCAUUUUGGGUGAAUUUAAUUUGUAUUUGGGCCUAGGACAUGACCCUGUAAAUAAAUGGAAAAAUAUGUUAAUAUGUGUA